rnacentral:rRNA from 1 species
UGCUUCUCUUGAGAGCGGCGGACGGGUGAGUAAUGCCUAGGAAUCUGCCUGGUAGUGGGGGAUAACGUCCGGAAACGGACGCUAAUACCGCAUACGUCCUACGGGAGAAAGCAGGGGACCUUCGGGCCUUGCGCUAUCAGAUGAGCCUAGGUCGGAUUAGCUAGUUGGUGGGGUAAUGGCUCACCAAGGCGACGAUCCGUAACUGGUCUGAGAGGAUGAUCAGUCACACUGGAACUGAGACACGGUCCAGACUCCUACGGGAGGCAGCAGUGGGGAAUAUUGGACAAUGGGCGAAAGCCUGAUCCAGCCAUGCCGCGUGUGUGAAGAAGGUCUUCGGAUUGUAAAGCACUUUAAGUUGGGAGGAAGGGCAGUAAAUUAAUACUUUGCUGUUUUGACGUUACCGACAGAAUAAGCACCGGCUAACUCUGUGCCAGCAGCCGCGGUAAUACAGAGGGUGCAAGCGUUAAUCGGAAUUACUGGGCGUAAAGCGCGCGUAGGUGGUUCGUUAAGUUGGAUGUGAAAUCCCCGGGCUCAACCUGGGAACUGCAUUCAAAACUGACGAGCUAGAGUAUGGUAGAGGGUGGUGGAAUUUCCUGUGUAGC